GAGCAUCACAAUUUGCGGUAGAACAAGGAAAUGCACCUCCAAUGCCUCUGUCACAGGUCCCGUCUACCUGUGGCUACAGCAUGCAGAGGAACUCGCAUGCACUUGAAAUGUUGGUUCCCUAUGAUGGCUGCAACAUGGUUCAAGAGGGUGGAAGUUAUGUACUCCCGAUGCGUUGGCAAGGAAUUCCAGUCUCUCUCUGGUGUUCCAACCCUGCCGCACCUCCUGCCUCACCUCCUGCAGCACCUCCUGCUUCCAAAACGACUUUCCCCCAUUCCCUUGU